rnacentral:rRNA from 1 species
GGAAUUUUGGACAAUGGGCGCAAGCCUGAUCCAGCAAUGCCGCGUGAGUGAAGAAGGCCUUCGGGUUGUAAAGCUCUUUUGUCAGGGAAGAAACGGACUUUUCUAAUACAGAGGUCUAAUGACGGUACCUGAAGAAUAAGCACCGGCUAACUACGUGCCAGCAGCCGCGGUAAUACGUAGGGUGCAAGCGUUAAUCGGAAUUACUGGGCGUAAAGCGUGCGCAGGCGGUUUUGUAAGACUGUCGUGAAAUCCCCGGGCUCAACCUGGGAAUGGCGAUGGUGACUGCAAGGCUAGAGUUUGGCAGAGGGGGGUAGAAUUCCACGUGUAGCAGUGAAAUGCGUAGAUAUGUGGAGGAACACCGAUGGCGAAGGCAGCCCCCUGGGUCAAAACUGACGCUCAUGCACGAAAGCGUGGGGAGCAAACAGGAUUAGAUACCCUUG